AGAACGAACGCUGGCGGCAUGCCUAAUACAUGCAAGUCGAACGAACUCUUCGGAGUUAGUGGCGCACGGGUGCGUAACGCGUGGGAAUCUGCCCCUUGGUUCGGAAUAACAGUUGGAAACGACUGCUAAUACCGGAUGAUGACGAAAGUCCAAAGAUUUAUCGCCAAGGGAUGAGCCCGCGUAGGAUUAGCUAGUUGGUGAGGUAAAGGCUCACCAAGGCAACGAUCCUUAGCUGGUCUGAGAGGAUGAUCAGCCACACUGGGACUGAGACACGGCCCAGACUCCUACGGGAGGCAGCAGUAGGGAAUAUUGGACAAUGGGCGAAAGCCUGAUCCAGCAAUGCCGCGUGAGUGAUGAAGGCUUAGGGUUGUAAAGCUCUUUACCCGAGAUGAUAAUGACAGUAUCGGAAGAAUAAGCCCGACUAACCUCCGUGCCAGCCAGCCCG
rnacentral:rRNA from 1 species